UCAAAGUCAAAGUACCUCAUUUUGAACAUCCAGAAUUGGUGUUUUUGUCAUAUUUAGAUAUCUUUUUCUCCAAAACAAUAAAAGGUGACAACAAAGUCUCUUUAGAUUAUGUUAAAGGAUGACUUGUACUGUGACUGGAAUAAAUAUUUCAUGAUUUUACUGUAGAAUUUUGGAAAUACUCAAAAUCAAAAUACCUCAUUUUGAACAUCCAGGAUUGGUGUUUUUGUCAUAUUUAGAUAUAUUUUUCUCCAAAACAAUAAAAGGUGACAACAAA